rnacentral:piRNA from 1 species
GGUAUUAAAUUAUUGCUAGAAGC